GGAUUGUGCAGAACUUGCCACCACGAAAACUCAGAGAAGCUCAAUGCCGCUGAAAAGAGGCCGGCAGCUCUGGAAGACUACGCUAGACCAUCAGAUCAAAUUGCUGAACAAACAGCGUACCAAAAUGCCUACGUUAUGCACUGUGGAACGCUCUGCGGAUGGACAG